GGGGUUGUAGCUUAAUGGUAAAGGGCUCCGAUAGCAGACGAUCGACCUGGGAGAGAAUUCGCUGUUUACGGGACUCUUCGGGUGACCACGGCAGCGGAAAUCGUUCCCAGUAGAUUGACUCGAUGAGAUCACGGGUUCGAUUCCAGUCAACUCCA